rnacentral:misc_RNA from 1 species
UUUCCGUAGGUGAACCUGCGGAAGGAUCAUUAAUUAUAUAAGGCCACGGGGCAAGCUUUCCGAAAGGAUCGAGCUUGCUGUGUGAACCCUACCUACCCUUGCUUUUUGCGUACCCACUGUUUCCUCGGCAGGCUUGCCUGCCAGUAGGACCCUCUUAAACCCUUUGUAAUUGCAGUCAGCGUCAGAAACAACGUAAUCGUUACAACUUUCAACAACGGAUCUCUUGGUUCUG